rnacentral:rRNA from 1 species
AUUGGACGCUGGCGGCAUGCUUUACACAUGCAAGUCGAACGGCAGCGCGGGCUUCGGCCUGGCGGCGCGUGGCGAACGGGUGAGUAAUGCACCGGAACGUGCCCAGCAGUGGGGGAUAGCCCGGCGAAAGCCGGAUUAAUACCGCAUACGACCUGAGGGUGAAAGCGGGGGACCGAAAGGCCUCGCGCUAUUGGAGCGGCCGAUGUCGGAUUAGCUAGUUGGUGGGGUAAAGGCUUACCAAGGCGACGAUCCGUAGCUGGUCUGAGAGGACGACCAGCCACACUGGGACUGAGACACGGCCCAGACUCCUACGGGAGGCAGCAGUGGGGAAUUUUGGACAAUGGGGGCAACCCUGAUCCAGCCAUGCCGCGUGCGGGAAGAAGGCCUUCGGGUUGUAAACCGCUUUUGUUCGGGAAGAAAUCCUCUGGGCUAAUACCCCGGGGGGAUGACGGUACCGGAAGAAUAAGCACCGGCUAACUACGUG